CGGGUCGAAAUAUCCGGGUAAUCGGAUCCGUUAGCGAGACGGAACAACCCGAUACCGAGCCGCGUCCCGGCGGUGAGGUUGAUCGGAAAGAGGCCAGCAGGGUCACGACAAUCAAGAAGCGGUUCCAGCAACCCAGCGAGCCACUCAAAGGUGGAUGACGUCAUGUUAUAAGAGUUAACGAAUGAAUCGGGACUCCGAAGAACCGAACCGGGUUCAUCCGGGUCGAAUAAAUUGUGGGGGCGCUUACGUUUUCUUUUGGGGGAGAGGGUUGCGGCGAUUUGAUUAGAGAGGAGGAGGUGGUGGAUUAGAGGGAGGGAAUUAUUGUUGGGGAGGGAAUUGGAAUGAGUGGAAUUGGGAGGGAAAAUGAGGAGAAGUAGAAGAAGGAGUUGGGAGAUGAGGGAGGAAAGUAACGCAGCCAAUUUACGAGAUUCCAUGUGAUAUUGGGAACGGAAAUCGA